UUUGAAUUUCUUUUUCUUUUUUUUUGCUUUUUUUUUUGCGAAAAACAGAAAUUCCGGGAGGA
rnacentral:ribozyme from 1 species